rnacentral:rRNA from 1 species
UGAGGAAUAUUGGACAAUGGGCGCAAGCCUGAUCCAGCAAUGCCGCGUGCAGGAUGAAGGCCUUCGGGUUGUAAACUGCUUUUGUACGGAACGAAAAGGCUCUGGUUAAUACCUGGGGCUCAUGACGGUACCGUAAGAAUAAGCACCGGCUAACUACGUGCCAGCAGCCGCGGUAAUACGUAGGGUGCAAGCGUUAAUCGGAAUUACUGGGCGUAAAGCGUGCGCAGGCGGUUAUGUAAGACAGAUGUGAAAUCCCCGGGCUCAACCUGGGACCUGCAUUUGUGACUGCAUAGCUAGAGUACGGCAGAGGGGGAUGGAAUUCCGCGUGUAGCAGUGAAAUGCGUAGAUAUGCGGAGGAACACCGAUGGCGAAGGCAGCCUCCUGGGCCAGUACUGACGCUCAUGCACGAAAGCGUGGGGAGCAAACA